rnacentral:rRNA from 1 species
AAACUUUCAACAACGGAUCUCUAGGUUCUGGCAUCGAUGAAGAACGCAGCGAAAUGCGAUAAGUAGUGUGAAUUGCAGAAUUCAGUGAAUCAUCGAAUCUUUGAACGCACAUUGCGCCCCUUGGUAUCCCGAGGGGCAUGCCUGUUCGAGCGUCAUUU